AGAAAAUACAUAACUACCUAGCCCAAAGAAGCCAAAUAAAGGCUAUACAUUUGAAAUCUGGACCAAAACUAACUAUAUUUUAAGGUAUUUUUUAUCCUCUAACAGGGCAUCUCAAAAAAUUUGAAGAACAGAAUAGAAUGACGCAGUGAAAUGCAAUCACCUGUUAAACUAUCAUCUCAACUCUCUGAGAAUAGCUUUGUCUUUUUUUU
rnacentral:misc_RNA from 1 species